rnacentral:rRNA from 1 species
GAUGAACGCUGGCGGCGUGCCUAAUACAUGCAAGUCGAGCGAACGGACGAGAAGCUUGCUUCUCUGAUGUUAGCGGCGGACGGGUGAGUAACACGUGGAUAACCUACCUAUAAGACUGGGAUAACUUCGGGAAACCGGAGCUAAUACCGGAUAAUAUUUUGAACCGCAUGGUUCAAUAGUGAAAGACGGUUUUGCUGUCACUUAUAGAUGGAUCCGCGCCGCAUUAGCUAGUUGGUAAGGUAACGGCUUACCAAGGCGACGAUGCGUAGCCGACCUGAGAGGGUGAUCGGCCACACUGGAACUGAGACACGGUCCAGACUCCUACGGGAGGCAGCAGUAGGGAAUCUUCCGCAAUGGGCGAAAGCCUGACGGAGCAACGCCGCGUGAGUGAUGAAGGUCUUCGGAUCGUAAAACUCUGUUAUUAGGGAAGAACAUAUGUGUAAGUAACUGUGCACGUCUUGACGGUACCUAAUCAGAAAGCCACGGCUAACUACGUG